UACAGAGGGGGCAAGCGUUAUUCGGAAUUAUUGGGCGUAAAGGGCGCGUAGGCGGCUUUGCAAGUGACGGGUGAAAUCCCUCGGCUUAACCGAGGAACUGCCUGUCAAACUGCAUGGCUUGAGACCGGGAGAGGUGAGUGGAAUUCCCAGUGUAGCGGUGAAAUGCGUAGAUAUUGGAGGAACACCAGUGGCGAAGGCGGCUCACUGGACCGGUACUGACGCUGAUGCGCGAAAGCGUGGGGAGCAAACGGG
rnacentral:rRNA from 1 species